rnacentral:lncRNA from 1 species
CAUUACAGGUCAAUGUACGGCCUUCAACACGGAUCCUUGGCUCACACCGAACAACAAGCUAUAAAGGGCCCCAAAAUUACUAGUGUAAAAAAAUUCAAACGGGAAAACGAACGGUCUAAUCUAUAUAAAAAAUUUUUAAAAAACGAGAAACGAGAAACACGUAUAAAUUACAUUAACAAACGACAACUACUGUACAUCAGAUUCCUGUCUUAGGACAGGUGCAAACAUUAGCAGUGGGAUUAAUAAAGGCAACAGUAGUAUACCGCUGUUCAAACUCAUAAAUCCAUGGACAAAAAACAAAAUCGGGGUAACGAACUAAAACUGAGGGAAACGCAUUAAUAUAAGAGAACAACGACACAACACUACAAUGUAACUAACACACACAGAAACGGACCAAGCAUCAGACAAAAUCCCAC